AGAAAACGGGCUCACUGCAGCUAACAGCCUCACCCCUUGGGCUAGGAAGCCACGGAAGCAAAACCUCCGCCCCGGCCUGAAAGCAACCGGGAGACCGCGGAACCACUGCCACCGACUCAGCCCUGCCCAGCAGGGGCCCGCCCAGGGGCCACUCCCCAAGGGAGGCAGCCAGUCACUCGCCCGCCCUUCCGGGCCCACUCCCGAGGGGACGGUCUCCCGCCCGCCCUCACACACAGCUAGCUCUUCAGGCCAGGCCCCCAGGGUUUCGUCCACCUCUCACCUUUGACGACGCGAAUGAAGAAUGAGGAGGUGCUGCGAUCGAACGACUGCGAGGAAACACACCCGCUCUCAUGGCAUUCCCAGUAAACUGAGAAGACGUGAUUAAACCUCAGGAUCUCCUACUAAUAGAGAAAUGUAUAACGAUUUAGCUACCAGAUCUGAAUACUGAAGGGUUGGUAGGGGACCAGAGAAUAGAGGAAGCAUUGUAGGUUCUAGAGUGGAGAAGGGACCAUCCAAAAUGGAGUUUGAAAGAGAAUUCUGGCCUUUGUGUUUAGAGUCUGGAAUUGUCAAGAGUCUGAAAGCACAGAAUAAGACUGCAGCUAGAGCAAUUUAGGCGCCAUAGUUUGUCAAAACAGGUAAGGGGAAUAAAGGGGAUGACACCAAGAGAUGUGCAAAGAAUCUGAAGAAUUCACCUGAAAAGGAUACAACCUCCUCCUGGAAGGCAGAGGAGUAAAUAGGGAAUUGGAAAUUAAUUCCUUAUUUCUGCACAUGCACAGAAUCUGGGCCCAGGUGACUUAUGGAACCUUUAUAGAGACCACGGUGACUGACACUCAUGGGAAAGGGGGUAGAGGGGCAAGAACUGACUGUUCAUCAAAAAUUAUUAGAUGAGUGUGUCCACGACACCAGGAGAUAUGUUGAAUCAUGGACAGGGACCAGCAUAUCCACUAAGCUCUAUAUAUCUUGAUGGUGCAGGAUCCAAGUGGGAUGGAACAACCAAUUCCUGCCCAUCCUCCUGCUCAAUAAUACAUGUGCUCAGAAUCUGUUCAUAAUGCAUGGUGAGACGGGAUCUCACUGUGUUGCCCAGGCUGGUCUCGAACUGCUGGACUCAAGUCAUCCUCCCAUCUUGGCCUCCCAAAGUGCUGGAAUUACAGUGGACAACCUUCAAUGCACUGGUACUUUGUACCCUGACCUCUACUGUGAUGAACACUCAACUUGGGCAAGGAAGUGAAAUUCUCCAAAGACAAGGUCUUGCUCUGUCACCCAGGCUGGAGUGUGGCAGUGCCAUCACGGCUCACUGCAGCCUUGACCUGCCGGGCUAACCGAUUCUUCCACCCAAGCCUCCUAAGUAGCUGGGACCACAGGAAUUAUUAAGAUAAGGACCAGCAGUACAAUGAGCUUUUCACUGUAUGUCUGACCUGAAAGAAGAAAAUCUUUUCAGAGGACUCCUCUCUCCCCUUCAGUCGCCAAGACAAUGAGAGCUCUUGCUACAGAAUACUCAUGGUCAUUUCUUCCCCUGGCAUUCAUAAACUAACAUGGUUCCCAAGCACUACCUUGUUGGCUGAGAGAGAGUCCCCGCCUGUGUUGGGAGGCAGGCUGAGGGCUGCGACGGCUGCUGUGGUGAUUGCUGCUGCUGCAUGCGAUCCUGCAGGCUCCGUGCUUUUCGAAUACUGAUUUGCAACUUCUUAUCGACUAGGGCUCUGCUGUGCGUGCUACAGCUGGCACCAUGCAGGGCAAGUCUUAGUUUAGCUAAAAUGCAAAAGAAAAUAUAGCAGAAACAGAACACAAAACACAAAUAAAAAUAAAAAGAAUAAAAUUGAAAAAAAA
rnacentral:lncRNA from 1 species